UGGGGGAAUUUUGGACAAUGGGCGAAAGCCUGAUCCAGCAAUGCCGCGUGUGUGAAGAAGGCCUUCGGGUUGUAAAGCACUUUUGUCCGGAAAGAAAUCCUUGGCUCUAAUACAGUCGGGGAGUACGGUACCGGAAGAAUAAGCACCGGCUAACUACGUGCCAGCAGCCGCGGUAAUACGUAGGGUGCAAGCGUUAAUCGGAAUUACUGGGCGUAAAGCGUGCGCAGGCGGUUUGCUAAGACCGAUGUGAAAUCCCCGGGCUCAACCUGGGAACUGCUGGUGACUGGCAGGCUAGAGUAUGGCAGGAGGGGGGUUAGAAUUCCACGUGGUAGCAGUGAAAUGCGUAGAGAUGUGGAGGAAUACCGAUGGCGAAGGCAGCCCCCUGGGCCAAUACUGACGCUCAUGCACGAAAGCGUGGGGGAGC
rnacentral:rRNA from 1 species